rnacentral:rRNA from 1 species
UACGGGGGGGGCAAGCGUUGUUCGGAAUUACUGGGCGUAAAGGGCGCGUAGGCGGCCCAAUCAGUCGGGCGUGAAAGCUCUGGGCUUAACCCAGAAAGGUCGUUCGAUACUGUUGGGCUAGAGUGUGGAAGAGGCUACUGGGAAUUCCGUGUGUAGCGGUGAAAUGCGUAGAUAUAACGGAGGAACACCUGCGGCGAAAGGCG